rnacentral:rRNA from 1 species
GACGAACGCUGGCGGCGUGCCUAAUACAUGCAAGUCGAGCGGACCAAAGGGAGCUUGCUCCUGGAGGUUAGCGGCGAACGGGUGAGUAACACGUGGGCAACCUGCCUGUAAGACUGGGAUAACAUCGAGAAAUCGGUGCUAAUACCGGAUAAUAAAAAGAACUGCAUGGUUCUUUUUGAAAGAUGGUUUCGGCUAUCACUUACAGAUGGGCCCGCGGCGCAUUAGCUAGUUGGUGAGGUAACGGCUCACCAAGGCGACGAUGCGUAGCCGACCUGAGAGGGUGAUCGGCCACACUGGGACUGAGACACGGCCCAGACUCCUACGGGAGGCAGCAGUAGGGAAUCUUCCGCAAUGGACGAAAGUCUGACGGAGCAACGCCGCGUGAGUGAUGAAGGUUUUCGGAUCGUAAAACUCUGUUGUUAGGGAAGAACAAGUGCCGUUCGAAAGGGCGGCACCUUGACGGUACCUAACGAGAAAGCCACGGCUAACACGUGCCAGCAGCCGCGGUAAAG